AGCCUUCUGUAUCCAUGCUGAGAUUUCGUCACACACCAGACCAGUAGGGCUGAUGAGAAUACCUAGAUAAGGCC
rfam:Schistosoma curassoni strain Dakar, Senegal genome assembly, scaffold: SCTD_scaffold0003219